rnacentral:rRNA from 1 species
CCAGCCCGCUCAGAAACUCAAGGAAUUGACGGGGCCCGCACAAGCGGUGGAGCAUGUGGUUUAAUCGAUGAUACGCGAGGAACCUUACCUGGGCUCAAAUGUAUGUUGACGUAUUCUGAAAGGGAUACUUCUUCGGACAAUAUACAAGGUGCUGCAUGGUUGUCGUCAGCUCGUGCCGUGAGGUGUCGGGUUAAGUCCCAUAACGAGCGCAACCCCUAUCAUUAGUUGCCAUCAGGUCAAGCUGGGGACUCUAAUGAAACUGCCUACGCAAGUAGUGAGGAAGGUGGGGAUGACGUCAAAUCAGCACGGCCCUUACGUCCAGGGCUACACACGUGCUACAAUGGCCGGUACAAAGGGCAGCUACCUGGUGACAGGAUGCUAAUCUCAAAAGCCGGUCUCAGUUCGGAUCGGAGUCUGCAACCCGACUCCGUGAAGCUGGAAUCGCUAGUAAUCGCGCAUCAGCCAUGGCGCGGUGAAUACGUUCCCGGGCCUU